UACAGAGGAUGCAAGCGUUAUCCGGAAUUACUGGGCGUAAAGCGUGCGCAGGCGGUUUUGUAAGUCUGUCGUGAAAUCUCCGGGCUCAACCUGGGAAUGGCGAUGGAGACUGCAAGGCUAGAGUUUGGCAGAGGGGGGUAGAAUUCCACGUGUAGCAGUGAAAUGCGUAGAUAUGUGGAGGAACACCGAUGGCGAAGGCAGCCCCCUGGGUCAAAACUGACGCUCAUGCACGAAAGCGUGGGGAGCAAACAGG
rnacentral:rRNA from 1 species